GACGAACGCUGGCGGCGUGCCUAAUACAUGCAAGUCGAACGAAGUUUUUCUGGUUUUUUCUCUGGAAAAACUUAGCGGCGGACGGGUGAGUAGCACGUAAACUACCUCCCUCAGAGACUCAGACAACUGUUAAAAACGAUAUCUAAUCCCCGAUAACCGCCUUAACUUCAUGUUUGAUGUUUAAGAGUUAUUUUUUUUAACACUAUGAUAUGGCUUUUUUGUUCAUUAGCUAGUUGGUGGGGUAAAGACCUAACAAGGCGACGUAGCAUAGCCGACCUGAGAGGGAGAAUGGCCACACGGGGACUGAGAAAGGGCCGAGACUCGUACGGGAGGACGCGGUAGGGAAUCUUCCGAGAGGAGCGAAAGCGUAACGGAGCACAGCCGCGUGAGUGAAGAAGGAUUUCGGUUGGUAAAGCUAUGUUGUUAGGGAAGAAGGAUUGUGUAGUAGCUAGACAAAGUAGAGACGGUACCUAACAAGAAAGAGACGGCUAACUACGUG
rnacentral:rRNA from 1 species